rnacentral:rRNA from 1 species
UUAAGCGACUAAGCGUACACGGUGGAUGCCCUGGCAGUCAGAGGCGAUGAAGGACGUGCUAAUCUGCGAUAAGCGUCGGUAAGGUGAUAUGAACCGUUAUAACCGGCGAUUUCCGAAUGGGGAAACCCAGUGCAAUUCGUUGCACUAUCGUUAAGUGAAUACAUAGCUUAACGAAGCGAACCGGGGGAACUGAAACAUCUAAGUACCCCGAGGAAAAGAAAUCAACCGAGAUUCCCCCAGUAGCGGCGAGCGAACGGGGAGGAGCCCAGAGUCUGAAUCAGCGCGUGUGUUAGUGGAACGGUCUGGAAAGUCCGGCGGUACAGGGUGAUAGCCCCCGUACACUAAAAUGCACACGUUGUGAACUCGAAGAGUAGGGCGGGACACGUGGUAUCCUGUCUGAAUAUGGGGGGACCAUCCUCCAAGGCUAAAUACUCCUGACUGACCGAUAGUGAACCAGUACCGUGAGGGAAAGGCGAAAAGAACCCCGGCGAGGGGAGUGAAAAAGAACCUGAAACCGUGUACGUACAAGCAGUGGGAGCCUACUUGUUAGGUGACUGCGUACCUUUUGUAUAAUGGGUCAGCGACUUAUAUUCUGUAGCAAGGUUAACCGUAUAGGGGAGCCGCAGGGAAACCGAGUCUUAACUGGGCGUUAAGUUGCAGGGUAUAGACCCGAAACCCGGUGAUCUAGCCAUGGGCAGGUUGAAGGUUGGGUAACACUAACUGGAGGACCGAACCGACUAAUGUUGAAAAAUUAGCGGAUGACUUGUGGCUGGGGGUGAAAGGCCAAUCAAACCGGGAGAUAGCUGGUUCUCCCCGAAAGCUAUUUAGGUAGCGCCUCGUGAACUCAUCUUCGGGGGUAGAGCACUGUUUCGGCUAGGGGGUCAUCCCGACUUACCAACCCGAUGCAAACUACGAAUACCGAAGAAUGUUAUCACGGGAGACACACGGCGGGUGCUAACGUCCGUCGUGAAGAGGGAAACAACCCAGACCGCCAGCUAAGGUCCCAAAGUCAUGGUUAAGUGGGAAACGAUGUGGGAAGGCACAGACAGCCAGGAUGUUGGCUUAGAAGCAGCCAUCAUUUAAAGAAAGCGUAAUAGCUCACUGGUCGAGUCGGCCUGCGCGGAAGAUGUAACGGGGCUAAACCAUGCACCGAAGCUGCGGCAGCGACACUAUGUGUUGUUGGGUAGGGGAGCGUUCUGUAAGCCGUUGAAGGUGGCCUGUGAGGGUUGCUGGAGGUAUCAGAAGUGCGAAUGCUGACAUAAGUAACGAUAAAGCGGGUGAAAAGCCGCUCGCCGGAAGACCAAGGGUUCCUGUCCAACGUUAAUCGGGGCAGGGUGAGUCGACCCCUAAGGCGAGGCCGAAAGGCGUAGUCGAUGGGAAACAGGUUAAUAUUCCUGUACUCGGUGUUACUGCGAAGGGGGGACGGAGAAGGCUAUGUUAGCCGGGCGACGGUUGUCCCGGUUUAAGCAUGUAGGCGGGAAGUUUAGGUAAAUCCGGACUUCUUUUAACGCUGAGGUGUGACGACGAGGCACUACGGUGCUGAAGUAACAAAUGCCCUGCUUCCAGGAAAAGCCUCUAAGCAUCAGGUAACAACGAAUCGUACCCCAAACCGACACAGGUGGUCAGGUAGAGAAUACCAAGGCGCUUGAGAGAACUCGGGUGAAGGAACUAGGCAAAAUGGUGCCGUAACUUCGGGAGAAGGCACGCUGAUGGUAAGUGAAGCGACUUGCUCGUGGAGCUGAAAUCAGUCGAAGAUACCAGCUGGCUGCAACUGUUUAUUAAAACACAGCACUGUGCAAACACGAAAGUGGACGUAUACGGUGUGACGCCUGCCCGGUGCCGGAAGGUUAAUUGAUGGGGUUAUCCGUAAGGAGAAGCUCUUGAUCGAAGCCCCGGUAAACGGCGGCCGUAACUAUAACGGUCCUAAGGUAGCGAAAUUCCUUGUCGGGUAAGUUCCGACCUGCACGAAUGGCGUAAUGAUGGCCAGGCUGUCUCCACCCGAGACUCAGUGAAAUUGAACUCGCUGUGAAGAUGCAGUGUACCGCGGCAAGACGGAAAGACCCCGUGAACCUUUACUAUAGCUUGACACUGAACAUUGAGCCUUGAUGUGUAGGAUAGGUGGGAGGCUUUGAAGCGUGGACGCCAGUCUGCGUGGAGCCAACCUUGAAUACCACCCUUUAAUGUUUGAUGUUCUAACGUAGACCCGUGAUCCGGGUUGGGGACAGUGUCUGGUGGGUA